rnacentral:rRNA from 1 species
AUACGGAGGGUGCAAGCGUUACUCGGAAUCACUGGGCGUAAAGCGCGCGCAGGCGGCCAUUUAAGUUGGAUGUGAAAGCCUACGGCUCAACCGUAGAACUGCAUCCAAAACUAUUUGGCUAGAGUGUGGGAGAGGAAGAUGGAAUUAGUUGUGUAGGGGUAAAAUCCGUAGAGAUAACUAGGAAUACCAAAAGCGAAGGCAGUCUUCUGGAACAUUACUGACGCUGAGGCGCGAAAGCGUGGGGAGCAAACAGGAUUAGAAACCCCAGUAGUCC